rnacentral:rRNA from 1 species
GUCGCUACUACCGAUUGAAUGGCUCAGUGAGGUCUCCGGACUGGCUCAGGGAGGUUGGCAACGACCACCCAGGGCCGGGAAGCUGAUCAAACUUGGUCAUUUAGAGGAAGUAAAAGUCGUAACAAGGUUUCC